CAAAUGAAUUGACGGGGGCCCGCACAAGCGGAGGAACAUGUGGUUUAAUUCGAUGAUACGCGAGGAACCUUACCCGGGCUUGAAAUGCAGAUGAUCGAAGUGGAGACACUUUUUCCAGCGAUGGCGUCUGUGUAGGUGCUGCAUGGUUGUCGUCAGCUCGUGCCGUGAGGUGUCGGCUUAAGUGCCAUAACGAGCGCAACCCUCAUUACUAGUUACCAUCAGGUCUAGCUGGGGACUCUAGUGAGACUGCCGGCGUAAGCUGUGAGGAAGGUGGGGAUGACGUCAAAUCAGC
rnacentral:rRNA from 1 species